GAUGAACGCUAGCGAUAGGCUUAACACAUGCAAGUCGAGGGGCAUCGAGGGUAGCAAUACCUGUCGGCGACCGGCGCACGGGUGAGUAACGCGUAUGUAACCUGCCCGCAACAGAGGGAUAACCCGGCGAAAGUCGGACUAAUACCUCAUAAAACAGGGGUUCCGCAUGGGGCUAUUUGUUAAAGAUUUAUUGGUUGCGGAUGGGCAUGCGUACCAUUAGGUAGUUGGUGAGGUAACGGCUCACCAAGCCAUCGAUGGUUAGGGGUUCUGAGAGGAAGGUCCCCCACACUGGUACUGAGACACGGACCAGACUCCUACGGGAGGCAGCAGUGAGGAAUAUUGGUCAAUGGGCGAGAGCCUGAACCAGCCAAGUCGCGUGAAGGAUGACUGCCCUAUGGGUUGUAA
rnacentral:rRNA from 1 species